rnacentral:lncRNA from 1 species
UUGUGCUUUUUUUAAAUUUAAAUAAUAACAUUUUAUAGAAAAACAUACUUAACGAAAGCAAUUUAUUUUAUUUUUUAUCUUUCCCAUUUCAAUGGCAAACAUUUGAAGCUAUUAUAUUUUUCUUAAAGUUCGAUCAUAGACCAUGUAAAGAAAGAACAAGUAAUUUUUAGUACACGACACCAAUGGAUUCAGACCCAAACAUUAAAUUUUUUUGGCUCCUUUUCAAUCUAUCCGCCGUACAACUUCAAGAAUAGCUUUAACGAAGGGAUAUUUGUAUCCUUUACAAACUUGAUCUCUUUGUCCUCGCAACAAAUGCAUGAACUAUUUUGUAAAGAAUUCAUAUUCGAAAUUGAACUGAGUUUUUAUUAAUACUGUAAUUGAUAGUAUUUAAAUAAGAAAUAAUAUAUAAUUAAAUCUUAAUCAUAUACUGAGAUAAAUGAAUGCGCGGCAAAAUAAUAUAGAAAGAUUAUCACAACUCAAUUCAACUUGAUAUUAAACCCAAAUUAAAAAAUUUAAGAUUUGAAUUCAAAAUUAAGUUAAGUUUCAUUUAAUUUUUUUAAUUAAAAUGAUGCAAUUGAUAGUUAUUGUAAUGAACGUAUAAAUAACUAGUUAUUAAUCAUACAUUACUAUAAAUUUACGCUUGACAUAAUAUUAAUUAUAAAAAGAUCAGUACAACUUAACUUAGCUCAAACACCCUUUAAAAACGUAGUAUAUUACUUACAUUAGUAAUUUUGUUUAUUAAUUAUUCACACGUUAAAAUAAGUUUAAUGUUAAUAAUAUAAACCACUAAAAGCUAAAAUGAUAAACAAGAAGACCUUGCGAAUCUAGGUAAGUGGCCUUUGACAGAUCAUAAAGGUGGAGCCAAGAUCUUAACAUAUAACAAACAACAAUUAGGAUUGUUUUUAUCAAUCAUAUUGUGUGAUCCUGUGUGCAGUGUCGGUUGUCUAAUUGUCAACGGAACUCGAAGUUCAAGUUUCCCCUUUUUCUUUCAUGUUUCCUUUUCGUUUUCAUUGUCGUUCGGCGGACAAUUUUUUGGUCCAAAUUGUGUGGCGGUGGAAAAGUGGGUAACUAGAGAAAGCAUCAGCAGCAUGUAGCAUCAUGCGCUACAGCUUAAAUUAUUAUUGUAUGCACCCACUCUUAUCAUAUGCACCACAUUUUCAUUCGUUUAUUUGACCAGAUUGUACAACUAUGCAUCUUAUAAAAUUUAUAAAAAUUAUUCAUUUAGAUUUCUAUUAGAUAGUUUUAGACCUCUCUCAACCCCCAAAAACUACUUGUCACUGGUUUUAAAGUUUAGGUCUACCAACAUCUCCACUCAAUAAUCUAAUAAAGAGAACAUGUGUUUAUUCUUCUGAUUCAGUGCCUGAUGUAUGAGGGGGAGAUUAUUGAGUUAUCCCACAUUAAUGUGGAAUAGGCAAUAGUGACUUGAUAAGUGUGAGGGAAAACCGAAUCUCUUGAUCUAAUUUUUAGAGUUGAGAGAGGUCCAUGACCAUCUAACAAUUUUAAUUAAAAUUAUUAUUAAUAGUGUUGAUUAGUGAUUAAUAUGAAGAAGUUAAGUUAUUUUAUUGAAUAAAUAAUACUCAUUUUUAUAAGACUUUUUUUCUCGGAAUUAUUUUCUACAAUUGGAGAAAUUUUUUUUUGAAUAACUUUCCUUGUAUGCUCUUUAAAAAAAAAACUUCUUUUUUUAACUCGGUUAUAUUUUUAUGUAAUUUAAGAAAAAGGCUUAAUCCAUUGCAAAAAAAAUUAUUUACCUCCAAAAAUGAGGACAAAAAAUUGAUUGAGUAAAGGCAUUUGUUAAAACAAGUUAUUGUCUUUUUUACUAAGGGUAAUUUAUGUUUUGCUAACCAGCAUUACCUAUUAAAGAAAAAAAAAUUAAGAAUGUCUAUGGGUUUAGGCAAGAAGUUUUCGAACAAUUUUCAUUCAGUGACUAUCUGUGCCAAAAUACUAAAAGGUAAAGGAAUAGAAAAUAAAAUUUGAUUGCAAUCACUUCAAAUUUGAAAAGAAAAUUAAUUUAUCUUCUAAAAAUAAUUUUUCUUUUAUUUUUUUUGUCUCUAUUUUGUCCUUGAUUUGUACAUGUUUAGUGCAAAAUUUGUACAUUAUUUUGUUCUUGUUCUAAACUUGGAGUAAUUAAUGUCAUAUGUGAAGAAUUUGAAAAAUAUUUAAUUAAUUUUAUUCAAGAAGAGAAAUAAAAAUAUCUUUUGAAUAGAGGAUAAAAUUUUAAUUACAUUUUAAUAAUUUUCAGUUGAACGAGAAGUUAAAAAAAAAUCAUAUACAAGAAAAAAUGCAAAUACUAUUAUGUGGAGCAAUUUUUAUUGGCUAGUACCAAGUUCUUUUAGUGUUCUACAAACCACUGGAAUUUUUUUGGCAGGAGGCACACGGUUUGAAAGUUUGAAUCAGUUUGAUACUCUGGACUCUGUAGACGCCAGAUAGUGCGUGUACAGACUUGCAUCAAAUUUUCAAAUCUUAAUUUCUAGAUUUGAAGACUUUAUUUUUAUUAAAAUACCCAUCAAACUUUUUAUAUCAU